rnacentral:tRNA from 2 species
GAUUCUUUGGUAUAGUGGUUAGUACAGCUUUCUUUCGAAAAGCUAGCACCAGUUCAAUUCUGGUAAGAAUCG